AAGUGAGACACUGUAGCAGACAGUGUCUCCAGGCAGGGUACUGAGCAAAGAGGAUAGUGAAAAGGGCAGUGAAACAUCGGCCUUUUUCACUGGCAACUUCAAGACUCACUGCCUACAAUUUCUUUGCAACUACACGAUCAAAAACAUUUUUUUUGGUGCACAUUAAAAAGACUAGAGAAAUGCUUUAAUACUUUCGAAGACUGAAUAUCUUAAAAAUGGCUCCAAUUCUACUGUCUUAUUCAAGCAAGAUCUCCCUUCCCUAAGGCAAUGGAAGAAGACAUACAGGAGAGAAGGAACUACAAAUAAGAGAGAUCACCUUGAACAAAAGUUCGAAAGUCCAUGAAGCUAUAUAGUUUUUUUCUUUUUGAAUUUGUUCAUAUGCUUGAUCUGUGCCAGGA
rnacentral:lncRNA from 1 species